GUCGUGAAGAGGGAAACAACCCAGACCGCCAGCUAAGGUCCCAAAGUCAUGGUUAAGUGGGAAACGAUGUGGGAAGGCCCAGACAGCCAGGAUGUUGGCUUAGAAGCAGCCAUCAUUUAAAGAAAGCGUAAUAGCUCACUGGUCGAGUCGGCCUGCGCGGAAGAUGUAACGGGGCUAAACCAUGCACCGAAGCUGCGGCAGCGACGCUGAUGCGUUGUUGGGUAGGGGAGCGUUCUGUAAGCCUGCGAAGGUGGCCUGUGAGGGUUGCUGGAGGUAUCAGAAGUGCGAAUGCUGACAUAAGUAACGAUAAAGCGGGUGAAAAGCCCGCUCGCCGGAAGACCAAGGGUUCCUGUCCAACGUUAAUCGGGGCAGGGUGAGUCGACCCCUAAGGCGAGGCCGAAAGGCGUAGUCGAUGGGAAACGGGUUAAUAUUCCCGUACUUGGUGUUACUGCGAAGGGGGGACGGAGAAGGCUAUGUUGGCCGGGCGACGGUUGUCCCGGUUUAAGCGUGUAGGUGUGUGUUCCAGGUAAAUCCGGUU
rnacentral:rRNA from 1 species